ensembl:lncRNA
GUAAAAAUUUUUUUUACUUAUUAUUUAUUGAUUUUAAUUUAUAAUUUUGGUGUAAAAAUACUUGGAUACGAUAUUCACCCUUAUAUAAUUCUAAUAAACAUUUAUUAUAAUGAUUAUUGGUAUUAAAUCUGAUUUAUAUGUCUAAUUAACCGUAAUAGAAGGCACCUGCCACAAGAGGGCGCGACAGAACAGCGUUGAGCACACGCGUUCAUUAUUGACGACACAAAUACACAAAAUGGUCCUAUUUUUCAGUCAUUUAAAUUCUAAAAGCAGUGGACCCGAUUAUAUAUCAAUUAUGAAUCUAUCAACCGUGUUUAUUCAGAGAUUUAGGAGGAACCCCGCGUCUUCUUCAUCAUGAGCGCGCUGUGCGUAAGAGGAGACCCGCGCGCGCUCCCGCGGAACCAGACGAGCGAGAUGACGCGCGGCGCGCUCCCGCGGUACAAGGUCUGAUUUAAACGCGUUCACUUCACUUCACUGAGACAGAACUGGAGUGACUCUGGGUUUAUUCGUCUAACGCGCUUUUCUCAGCUCUUUCACGAUGUUUGAGUGCAUCAUGUGAAACUGGUCAGUUGGGUACGUGGAAAUGCUCGGACCAUUUCACACGACCCCUGACCUCUCCUGCCCGACUCUUUGACGAGACGCCGAGCCCUGGAUGCUGUAAGGAUGGACGUUCACAUGCACAAGAGCCGGACGCUUCACUACGGCCUCAACCACAGUCCUGACGAUGAUCUGCAGUUCCUCAGUCGGGAGGAGCGGGAGUGUAUUUUGUUCUUUGAGGAGACCAUCGGCUCCCUGGAGGAGGACGAUGAGAGGACAGGGCUGUCCUCAUACACUACAGCUCCACGUCCCAGCGCUGCAGAUCAGGACAUCAUUGACCUGGUGCACCCUUCAGUCGGUCCCAGCAAACAGAGAGACACGCUGCCCGUCAGGCCAGGUAUCCCAAAAACAUCAGCUCCAUAUAAACCAUAGAAAACAUUGCAAUUCUGCGUUUAAUCAUCAUAAAACCUCAUGCUAAUCGUGCAAUGCUUUGUGAAGUUACUAACGCCACAGCAAACACUAUAUAGCGAUUCUAGUUUAAAAAAAAAUGCAUAAUGCAAAGAUGUGUAAUAAAGCAUUGACUUCGAGUGCAUUGCAUGCUGUGUUCAUCAGGUGAAGCCCAGUCGUCCUCUUAAAAAUCUAAACUAUCCAAAAAAAAACAUCCACGUCUGGGGAUUUUCACCAGAGACUAAAUGCACUAAAGAGUUGAUUAGCAGAUGUAGUAGGAUUUCAGGGAAUUGUAUGUGUAUAAUUAUAGUACAUAUAUACUGUGGAAACACAGCAUUAGUAUGUGACUGCAAACAUAACCAAAGUAUUCAAGAACAUAUGUGUCUGUAUGUAGAUUAGUGCUGUCAAAUGAUUACUCACAUCCAAAAUAAGUUUGUUUACAUUUUAUACAUAUAUAUAUAUAUAUAUAUAUAUAUAUAUAUAUAUAUAUAGUGUGUGUGUAUAUUUAUGUAUAUAUAAAUGCAUGCAUAUAUAUAAAAAACUUUACAUUUGUAUAUUAAAUAUAUUUAUAUCAUAUAAUUUAUGAAUAUAAAUAUAUACCCAAAAUACUUGUAAAUGUUUACAAAUUAUAUUCACAAAUAUUAUAAAAAAGUGAAAACACUUCUAUGCUGAAUUCACACACGCACGCACACACACACGCACACACACACACAAUCACACACACAAUCACACACGCGCACACACACACACACACAAUCACACACACACACACACAGAGAUAAGAGACCCAAUGUUUUUGCCACUAAAGCAACUGACAACUUUAAAUUAAGUUUAAUAUUCCUGUCAUAUUGUUGUCAUUACAUAUUUGUGCCCUGAACCACAAAACCAGUCAUAAUGGUCAUUUUUUAAAAUGCAUUUAUACAUUAUGAAUAACUACGUUUUCCAUUGAUGUGUGGUUUGUUAUGAGGACAAUAUUUGAAAACCUGGAACCUGAGGGAGCAAAAAUAUCUAAAUAUUGAGAAAAUCAUCUUUAAAGUUGUUCAAAUGAAGUUCUUAGCAAUGCAUAUUACUAAUCAAAAAAAAUUAUAUUUAUGAUAGGAAAUUUACUAAAUAUCUCAAUGCAACAUGAAUAUCCGAAUGGCUUUUGACAUAAGAGAAAAGUGUAUAAUUGUGACCCAUGUGUUGUUGUGUAUUGCUUCUUCUGACUGGGUCAUGUUUCUGCAUUGUGUUGUCACU